ACGAACGCUGGCGGCAUGCCUAACACAUGCAAGUCGAACGAGACCUUCGGGUCUAGUGGCGCACGGGUGCGUAACGCGUGGGAAUCUGCCCCUGGGUUCGGAAUAACAGUUGGAAACGACUGCUAAUACCGUAUGGUCCCUUCGGGGUAAAGAUUUAUCGCCAAAAGAUUAGCCCGCACUGGAUUAGCUAGUUGGUGAGGUAAGAGCUCACCAAGGCGACGAUCCAUAGCUGGUCUGAGAGGACGAUCAGCCACACUGGGACUGAGACACGGCCCAGACUCCUACGGGAGGCAGCAGUUAGGAAUAUUGGACAAUGGGCGCAAGCCUGAUCCAGCCAUGCCGCGUGAGUGAUGAAGGCCUUCGGGUUGUAAAACUCUUUAGCCGAUGAAUAUAAUGACUGUAGUCGGAAAAUAAGCCCCGGCUAACUUCGU
rnacentral:rRNA from 1 species